rnacentral:rRNA from 1 species
GCACAGGAGAGCUUGCUCUCUGGGUGGCGAGUGGCGGACGGGUGAGGAAUACAUCGGAAUCUACUUUUUCGUGGGGGAUAACGUAGGGAAACUUACGCUAAUACCGCAUACGACCUACGGGUGAAAGCAAGGGAUCUUCGGACCUUGCGCGAUUGAAUGAGCCGAUGUCGGAUUAGCUAGUUGGCGGGGUAAAGGCCCACCAAGGCGACGAUCCGUAGCUGGUCUGAGAGGAUGAUCAGCCACACUGGAACUGAGACACGGUCCAGACUCCUACGGGAGGCAGCAGUGGGGAAUAUUGGACAAUGGGCGCAAGCCUGAUCCAGCCAUACCGCGUGGGUGAAGAAGGCCUUCGGGUUGUAAAGCCCUUUUGUUGGGAAAGAAAUCCAGCUGGUUAAUACCCGGUUGGGAUGACGGUACCCAAAGAAUAAGCACUGGCUAACUUCGUGCCAGCAGCCGCGGUAAUACGAAGGGUGCAAGCGCUACUCGGAAUUACUGGGCGUAAAGCGUGCGUAGGUGGCCGUUUAAGUCCGUUGUGAAAGCCCUGGGCUCAACCUGGGAACUGCAGUGGAUACUGGGCGACUAGAAUGUGGUAGAGGGUAGCGGAAUUCCUGGUGUAGCGGUGAAAUGCGUAGAGAUCAGGAGGAACAUCCAUGGCGAAGGCAGCUACCUGGACCAACAUUGACACUGAGGCACGAAAGCGUGGGGAGCAAACAGGAUUAGAUACCCUGGUAGUCCACGCCCUAAACGAUGCGAACUGGAUGUUGGGUGCAAUUUGGCACGCAGUAUCGAAGCUAACG